rnacentral:rRNA from 1 species
UACAGAGGGUGCGAGCGUUAAUCGGAAUUACUGGGCGUAAAGCGUGCGUAGACGGUUAUUUAAGUCGGGUGUGAAAGCCCCGGGCUCAACCUGGGAAUUGCAUUCGAGACUGAAUAGCUAGGGUACGGUAGAGGGAAGUGGAAUUUCCGGUGUAGCGGUGAAAUGCGUAGAUAUCAGGAGGAACACCGGUGGCGAAGGCGGUUCUCUGGGCAUGUCCUGACGCUGAGGAGCGAAAGUGUGGGGAGCGAACAGG